rnacentral:rRNA from 1 species
UUAACGAAUCAAACAAGUUCAUCUUGUUCUGAUCCUGUGCACCUUAUGUAGUCCCAAAGCCUUCACGGGCGGCGGUUGACUACGUCUACCUCACACCUUAAAGUAUGUUAACGAAUGUAAUCAUGGUCUUGACAGACCCUAAAAAGUUAAUACAACUUUCGACAACGGAUCUCUUGGCUCUCGCAUCGAUGAAGAACGCAGCGAAAUGCGAUAAGUAAUGUGAAUUGCAGAAUUCAGUGAAUCAUCGAAUCUUUGAACGCACCUUGCGCCCUUUGGUAUUCCGAGGGGCAUGCCUGUUUGAGUGUCAUUAAAUACCAUCAACCCUCUUUUGACUUCGGUCUCGAGAGUGGCUUGGAAGUGGAGGUCUGCUGGAGCCUAACGGAGCCAGCUCCUCUUAAAUGUAUUAGCGGAUUUCCCUUGCGGGAUCGCGUCUCCGAUGUGAUAAUUUCUACGUCGUUGACCAUCUCGGGGCUGACCUAGUCAGUUUCAAUAGGAGUCUGCUUCUAACCGUCUCUUGACCGAGACUAGCGACUUGUGCGCUAACUUUGACUGACC